CGGGACGAGUAAAGUGGCGAACGGGUGUAGAACGCGUAGGAAUCUACCUAUUAGUGAAGGAUACCAUCGAGAAAUCGAUGCUAAUACUGCAUACGUCCCUCCGGGGAGAAAGACGGCCUCUUGCUGUCGCUAAUGGAUGAGCCUGCGUACUAUUAGCUAGUUGGUGGGGUAAUGGCCUACCAAGGCGAUGAUGGUUAGCCGGCCUGAGAGGGUGUACGGCCACAUUGGGACUGAGAUACGGCCCAGACUCC
rnacentral:rRNA from 1 species